rnacentral:lncRNA from 1 species
UGAUAGAUCUCCCUUCCCUUCAGCAAGAAUAAGUAAAGUUGCAAGCAAGAGAAGAAGAAAAAUGCAUUCUUGGUCAUUCCAUAACUCAAAAAACUGAAACCCUACAAAAUGAAUAGUUGGAGGCUUGGAAAUGUGUGUGGAUAGUCUCCCCUCAAAAUUGUCGAGAGAUACCCUAAAAAUGGUGGGGUCCACCUCUAAAGAAACCCUAGAGUUUAUGCCAAGUGUCCCACACAUUGGGCUUCUACAAUUUUUGCCACAAAAAGGGCCUAAUACACAAAAUACUAAUUAAAGUUCCUAAACAACUAAGUUACAAUUUAAUUAAAAUUGAAAUGACUAAAUGUAGAUUCUUUGAUGACCACGCCACCUCCUGAUGCUCCAAAAUAUGUCUCCAAUAUUUUCCCUGUAGUUAAAAAUGCAAUUAAUUAGCUCAGAAAAUUCAAAUUAAUUAAAAUAAGAAUUUCCGGUCAAAUUAAGCAUAAUUAGGAAAAACGAAAAAUAACGGAAUAUUAAACACAAUUCCCUAAUUUAUUUAAGUGCAAUAAACCAAAUACAGUCAAGAAAAUAUCGACUCAUCAAAAUAGACCACACUUAGUCUUUUGCACUCCUGGGAAAAAUCAAGACGCGAAACAGGGAAUAGUUCUGAGGACAUCAGGAAGUGACACGGACUCAACAAACAGACGACAAAGACUCACAAUGAAAGAAACAACAUUACACAGUUCUCAAGAAAUCUCGACAAAGAAAAGGAAGUAGGCAGUAUCAACACAAGAUCAGAGAAAAUAGAUACUCAUGAAGUUAUCAAAGCAAUUCCAAGCAUGGCAAAAUGAUCAAUUCGUUCAAGAGGUGAAACAAAAAUGACAGAACCUCACAGAUGCACACUAUCUGUGUUUCUCUCAAGUGUCUGGGUGAUAAGCUGUCGUUGAAGCUAUCAAAUUAAUACUACUUUUCAAGGCAACUUCAGUAUUGCCUAGUAGUAUUCAAGAAAGUAGAUAGGGCUAAAGAAACCCUAAGUCGUCUCCCAACAAACACGGAAUUUCUUUCGAAUAUCUGAAACUUAUGAAUGCUAUGCAAUGCUUAAGANNNNNNNNNNNNNNNNNNNNNNNNNNNNNNNNNNNNNNNNNNNNNNNNNNNNNNNNNNNNNNNNNNNNNNNNNNNNNNNNNNNNNNNNNNNNNNNNNNNNNNNNNNNNNNNNNNNNNNNNNNNNNNNNNNNNNNNNNNNNNNNNNNNNNNNNNNNNNNNNNNNNNNNNNNNNNNNNNNNNNNNNNNNNNNNNNNNNNNNNNNNNNNNNNNNNNNNNNNNNNNNNNNNNNNNNNNNNNNNNNNNNNNNNNNNNNNNNNNNNNNNNNNNNNNNNNNNNNNNNNNNNNNNNNNNNNNNNNNNNNNNNNNNNNNNNNNNNNNNNNNNNNNNNNNNNNNNNNNNNNNNNNNNNNNNNNNNNNNNNNNNNNNNNNNNNNNNNNNNNNNNNNNNNNNNNNNNNNNNNNNNNNNNNNNNNNNNNNNNNNNNNNNNNNNNNNNNNNNNNNNNNNNNNNNNNNNNNNNNNNNNNNNNNNNNNNNNNNNNNNNNNNNNNNNNNNNNNNNNNNNNNNNNNNNNNNNNNNNNNNNNNNNNNNNNNNNNNNNNNNNNNNNNNNNNNNNNNNNNNNNNNNNNNNNNNNNNNNNNNNNNNNNNNNNNNNNNNNNNNNNNNNNNNNNNNNNNNNNNNNNNNNNNNNNCCAUAAUGAAAUUACAGCAGAAUAGCCCUAGGAGCAUAGAAACACAUAAUGAAAGAAAAGUGAAAGGAGUGGUGGAUGAAUGAAUGAAUGAAUGAAGCUCCCCUUUCUGUCUCCCCUGGGUCUCUUUAUAUAGGCUUGAUUGGGCUUGGACUCUGAAUAUUCAGUUGAUAGAAUCUUUUAUCUUAUAUCUUCCAAAUAACUAAAAGAUUUAGAUAAUUAUAACAUUAUUUGAAAGAUAUUUUCUGUUGAUAUUCCCAAAUUAAAUUAAUUUAACAACUGAAUUUUAUCUUUUCUGAAUUUUCAAAAAUUGCACAUAAGCCCUGGUUUUUCUUCCAUCUACACUUUAGCCCCUUCUUCCUUUCUAAAAUUGCACAAAGACUAAGUUGACUAGACUUUGACUAAGAUUGACCAGAUUGGACGUGCCAAUGGGAAUCUGACAAGUGUCACUCCCUUCCCCUCCCAAAAUAGGGCUGCAACAGAUUGAAGGUAAAGAGAUCUGGAAGGCUCAUGCCCGCUCCUGAGAUGAAAAUGUGAGAAUAGGGUUUUAUCCCUUCUCCUCCACAACCGCGACUUGCUUUAACUCAUAUUUGUGAAAUUGAUUUCUCUGAUUGCAGGUUUGAAUGGGGACAAGUGAUGAGAUGGGAUGCGGCGUCCAUGGAUGGCGGUUUGAAAGCGUUGAUGUGUGAUUUAGGCGUUUAGGGUUUGAUUCUGGGUUUCUUGGCUGGUUUUCUGUGUGUAGGUGCGAAUCGUUGGCAGCGGCGGAGUUCGUGGUUGCAGUCAUGGCAGCGACGUUGGUGAGGAAAUGGUGCGCGAUGAUGAUGGUGGCCUGAAAUAGGAUUCGUGGCGGAGGUUUGACGGCGUGACAGUGGCGAUCGGUGGUUGAAGCGAGAAAGAUGAUGGUGUCCAUGGAGGUUGCAAAUGAGUCGCCCUUGUGUUCUGUUCCUGGGUUUCUGAGUGCAGGUUUCAAAAUCCCUAGAGAUGUGUCGCGAUUCUGAAAGGUGCUCAACUUCCGGCCAUGGAGAUCUGCGGGCUUGAGCGCUUGUUGCGCAAUGGUGGCCGUCGGUAUGAUUGCCAUGGUAGCACGACAAUGAUGGAUGGUGGUCGUGGUGGCAAGAUUUGAGUUGGUGUCGCGACAUGAGGUAGAAGAUGGUGGUGCGGCGACCAUGGGUGGCUGAUGCAGCGUGCUCAUGGUGACGGCGCCCUAGGGUUGUUGGAUCGGGGAUUAGGGUUUCAGUGGGUGAAAGAUGAUGACGUGGCAUGGGGCAUAAGGUGGCAGAUUGUGGUUGGACAGAUCUUGGUAAGAUGGAUUGCCACAUGGCGUAAUCUGGUGGUUUUUGGUUAGGAAGGGUGUGGAUAGGAAAAAUCUAGGGGUGUAGGAGAAAAGGGUUACUGUUGGGCUUCAGUAUUGGCCUGGUUUAGAAGAGAGGGGUGCAUGUAGGGAAAUAUGAGGGUGCAAGGGUAAAAACUGAGUUUGGCCCAUCUGUACAUUAUUUAUCAAAUAAAAUCUGACUUUGGGCUUUAAAUUGCAAUUUGCACCAAUAAAACUCUAACUUCAGCUGCAUAAAUAAAUAUUAGAACAUCCAAGAAUAAUUUAUGCAAUGAAAAUCACUUUUUAAGCCCUUUUUAUUUCCAACACGCUAAAUCCAAUAAUCACAAAUCCUCUACAAAUCAAUCGUUUAAGCAUAAAUAUUCUAUCAAAAAUUUUAAUUUUAAAGCAUAAAUGUGGACAUAAAUAUGCACUCAUCACUGGGAUAAACAAUGUCAACUCAAUGCACUCAAGAAAGCAAGUAUCAAACAGAUUUGUCAAGCCUCUAAUAUCAAUACUCAAAACAUAUAUGCAUGUUCAAAUCAAAAGGUCUUUUAUGGAUGCAAUGGGGUCAAGGACAAGGGAGGAUACAAACCAAAAGAAAUAGAGGAGCAAUGGGGAAUAAGUGUAGACACAUUCAAACACACCAAAAACCUCUAAUUCAAUCCUCUUCUUGACUCCAUUAUUCACACAACAAUUUUUUUUUCUCAUUUUUCUGUAUUUUUUUUCUCUUUUUUUUCAUCUCGUCUCUUUUAUUUUCUCUCUUUUCAGAACACAACUCUAAGAGACAAGAUACACAACAUAUUUACAAAACAAAACAAGAAGAGGAGCCAACUAACUAAUUCAUCAGAAUCCCCAAAGAGACCACACUUGUUCCCAAAACAAUUCCAAAGCUCCAAAAUUCCCUAAGGUUUAAAACAAAGAAAUGGGGAAAGCAUAGACUUAAAAGGGGUUAUCAAAGGAUUAAAACGAGGUAGGCUCAUCUGGCUAGAGAGGCUCAACAACAAAACUGCCUUUAUCACUUCCAAACAUGCAUAUCAAUCAAGAAUUAUCAAAGAGAAUCAAGCCAAGGCAUAUGUGCAAGAAAUCAAGAGACAUAUCACACAAGAAAGAACAUUAAGUGGCUCAAAUUCGCACACAGGGUAUUUCUGUCACAAUCAAUCACCCUUUCAAACUUCAUAAUCAUCUUCCCAAGCAAAGAAAAGCAAAGGAUUUCAAACCAAUCAGAGCAUCAAUGAAGUGAAAGACACAUCUACAAUCUAAACCAAGUCUAGAAAUCAAGAUAAACAUGCAAAAAUGUACACAAGACACAACAAAACUACCUAGAAAACAAAAAAUUUAACGCAGAAAACAUAAACUAACAAAAAAAAAUCAUAAUCUCCCCCAAUAGACCACACUUAAACUACACAGUGUCCUCAAUGUGUCAAAAGCAUAAGAUCAAAAAUACGAAUAGUCUACAGAUCAUGGACAAGUGCAAUAAAAGCGGGAAAAGAAGGGAGAAGGGAAAAGAAAACUCCCCUGAUCAUGGUGGCAGUUGCCAAUUUUGGACUGUUAGGGAGAUGUUCUUCACCAUUGUGAAGCCACUCUUUUUGGGCACAACAUGGAUGGGGCUCACCCAUUGGCUAUCUGAAAUUGGGUAGAUGAUCCCAGCUUGCAGAAGCUUGGUCACCACCCUCUUAAUGAUGUCCAUGAUCACAGGGUUUUCCCUUCUCUGUGGCUGUCUAACUGGCCUUGCUCCAUCCUCUAGAAGAAUUCUAUGCAUGCAUGUGGAUGGGUUAAUACCAGGUAUGUCAGCCAAACUCCAACCAAUAGCUUUCUUGUGCUUCCUUAGCACACCAAGCAACUUCUCCUCUUAAAUAUAAUCAAAGGAGGUGGAAAUUAUCACUGGUUUCUUCUCAUCAUCCUCUAAGUACCCAUACUUGAGGUGAUCUGGCAAUUGUUUCAACUCAAGAGUGGGUGCCUGCAAGUCAGAUUCAAUUGUACUUCCUGCAACAUGGUUAGUGUAUUUUGACUCUAAAGAAUUCACAUGUAAAGGCAGAACACCCAUCUCAUCACAAUCCAAAUCAAUGUCCAUGACAGAUAUGUCAACAACAUCAUCAAUAUCACGCAUAGCAUCAAUAUCCUGGACAUCACAAUCCUCAUCAAAAUCCACAACAAUGUCCACAUCAUUCUCAAAUCCUGACUCAAAUCCAGAUUCAAUGCAUGGAUGUAAAGAAGAUAGAAAAGAAUGUUCUUUCUCAUGCAAAGAAUUAAACUCAUCAACAGCAUGUUUAUCAAUAAUGUCAUCCAACAUGUCAAUCCUAAAAACAGAAUGGUCCUCAGUUGGAAAUUUCAUUGCAUUAGAAUAUUAAAGUGAACAACAAUAUAAGCAAAUUCCAUAGACAAAGUUCCAGCAUACACAUCAAUCUUGGUUCGGGAAGUUUUCAAGAAUGGCCUGCCUAGGAUAAUGGGAGCGAAUCCCUCUCCAUCUCCAAAACAUAAAAGUUAGCAGGAAAAAUCAAUUCACCAACCCUAACCAAGACAUCCUCUAUGUAACCUGUUGGGUGGGUAACACUCCUAUUGGCCAACUGAACGACCACACCCGUAGGUUGUAAAGGACCAAGAGACAAAGAUUUAUAGAUAGACAAAGGCAUGACAUUAAUAGAAGCACCUAAAUCAAGCAUGGCAUUCUCAAAUUUACUGUUUCCAAUCACAAAAGGAAUGCAAAAUAUACCUGGGUCCUUGAACUUUUCAGGAAUGUGCGGGACCGGCUUACCAAUAAGCGCAGAUACAUUCCUGCCCAUACUGAUCCUUACAUUACCUUUCAUCUUCCUCUUGUCUGUGCACAGCUCCUUCAAAAAUUUGGCAUACCUUGGAAUCUGUUUGAUUGCAUCAAGUAGAGGUAUGUUCACCUCUACCUUCCUGAAGGUCUCCAAUAUUUCCUUAUCCACCUCUUCCAUCUUUUUGCUAGGAAUUGCCCUUAAGGGGAAGGGAAGAGGGAUAGGCCGAUCAUACAAAGGAGAUGCACUGGUGGUGGUGGUGGGAGAAGGGGAAGCUCCACUUGGAGAAGAAAAACAACCACCGGUAGAAGAAGAUCCACCCACCUCAAAUGUCCUGCGUGGACCAGACUGGGUGUAGGUGUAGGAGUUGGCUUUGAAGGCACAACAAUCUGCUUCCCUGAUCCGAGGGUUAUGGCACUCACAUUCUUCGGAUUCUGCACAGUCUGGGAUGGUAACUUAUCAGAAUUCUAAGAUUGCACCUGGUUUAGUUGAGUAGCCAUCUGACCCAUCUGAUUAGUGAGACUCUGUAUGGAAGCUCUAGUCUCCUGCUGAAACUGCAUGUUCUCUUUCUGAAACUACAGGUUCUGCAAAGUCAUCUGUCUCACAAGCUCUUCCAAUGAAGGCAGCAACAACAACAGCAACAAGAGGCACCUGCCCAACCCUCUACUUCGUUUGAGCCCUCAUUGGAAAGAGAACCUGCGGUUUCAGAAAGAGAACAUGCAGUUUCAGUAGGAGACUAGAGCUUCCAUACAGAGUCUCACUAAUCAGAUGGGCCAGAUGGCUACUCAGCUAAACCAGGUGCAGUCUCAGAAUUCUGAUAAGUUACCAUCCCAGACUGUGCAGAAUCCGAAGAAUGUGAGUGCCAUAACACUCAAAUCAGGGAAGCAGAUUGUUGUGCCUUCAAAGCUAACUCCUACACCUAGACCCAUGUCUGCCGCUUCUCAUAGGAUAGAGGACCAGUCUGGUCCACGCAGGACAUUUGAGGUGGGUGGAUCUUCUUCUACCGGUGGUUGUUUUUCUUCUCUAGGUAGAGCUUCCCCUUCUCCCACCACCACCACAAGUGCAUCUCCUUUGUCAGAUUAGCCUAUCCCUCUUCCCUUCCCUUCAAGGGCAAUUCCUAGCAAAAAAAUGGAAGAGAGUUGACAAAUUGGCAAGUGUACCAAAUCGUACAAGUAAUAAAAAUGGUAAGACCAAAUAUCUUUUUUCCCAAGAGACUCAUAUGGCUUCCUCGUUCGCGUGAAUUAAAAUAAUAAGACUUGAGAAAUUAAAAUUAAUAAAUUGGGUUUGAGAGCAAAAAUAUUAACAUGCAAAAUAAAGGUUGAUUCAAUUGACAAGUGAAAACAAUGGAUGAAUGGAUGUUGUUGGGUACUAACAAUUUCAUCUAUUCCACUCUCUCUUACAUACUACCCUUGAUUAUUAGAUUGAUUCAAUUGUUAUGUGACUUUCUUAGCCUCUCCUGAACCCGAUCCCUCGGCAAAAAGGGCCUAAUAUCAAUUACUGGCUUGCUAUCCCUAGCCUCCCCUAGUAAUUAAUACCGCAUUAUAAACAGAAGUUAGCGCAAUUGAUCGUCCUACCCUUAUCCCUAGGUGGUAUUGCAGAAUCAAGAGAUUACUCACCAAUUCAUGUCAUUACCGCACGUCCCCAUGUCAAUAACGACAAACAACAAUAUAUCGAAUGAGUUAAAUGAUAAAAGUCUUAAGCACAGAUGAUAACCCAACAAUAAUCAAUCAAAACAUAUGGAGACCAUAUAAAUAAUCAAUAGUUUCAAUAAGAGAGAGUAUCAAAAGAUUACAUUGAAUUCCCCAACAACAAUAGGGUUUAGUUCACCAUAGAUGAAAAAUGGCAGAAGAAUGAAAGAGCAAACCCUAGAAAAGACGAAAAGGAGCCUAAGCAUCCAAGAGAUCCUCUCCAGAGAGCAAAAUUAGGUCUGGUCGUUCUCCCCUGUCAAAAGAAUGACUCUGAAUUCGUGGUAGGGGUUUUUAUAGGUGAGGAGUGCGUCAAAAUCAGGCCCAAGUCUAGCGUGCUACAGCCGGGCGGUUUAAGUGUGCCCCCCGGCGGUUUGCCACAACCUGCCGCCACCGCCCGGCGGCAAUCGCCAGCACCCGGCGGUUUAGGUGUGCCGCUGGGCGGUACGUCGACUCUUCAAAACUCAACUUUUCUGCUCUUUUCUUGAGUGAACGACCUGCAUCUUUAACUCCAUUCUUACUUUUCUCAAAUUAGCUACAAAACAAUGCAAAAUAAGCAUAAAAUCGCUAAAAACAACUUUUGACUCUCUCCAAACUCAUUUAUUGAGUUUUGCUUGAUUCUAAGCUCGUUCCGAGUAGUAAAGGGUGUAAUUUCGUCCAAAUUGACAUAUGAAAAUCACUGUUUUUCAACCUUCAUCAACACCCCAAACUUAGAAUUUUGCUUGUCCUCAAGCAAAAAAAAAACAAAACAACAAACAAAACAAAACUUGACUUUACACUGUUUCAUCCAAUGCCCAACAAUCCCAAGGUACAUGACAAAAUCACUCAAAUCAAUAUCCUUAGUGAAAUCCAAAAUAAGAUGCAUGCAUGCUUUCAAUCNNNNNNNNNNNNNNNNNNNNNNNNNNNNNNNNNNNNNNNNNNNNNNNNNNNNNNNNNNNNNNNNNNNNNNNNNNNNNNNNNNNNNNNNNNNNNNNNNNNNNNNNNNNNNNNNNNNNNNNNNNNNNNNNNNNNNNNNNNNNNNNNNNNNNNNNNNNNNNNNNNNNNNNNNNNNNNNNNNNNNNNNNNNNNNNNNNNNNNNNNNNNNNNNNNNNNNNNNNNNNNNNNNNNNNNNNNNNNNNNNNNNNNNNNNNNNNNNNNNNNNNNNNNNNNNNNNNNNNNNNNNNNNNNNNNNNNNNNNNNNNNNNNNNNNNNNNNNNNNNNNNNNNNNNNNNNNNNNNNNNNNNNNNNNNNNNNNNNNNNNNNNNNNNNNNNNNNNNNNNNNNNNNNNNNNNNNNNNNNNNNNNNNNNNNNNNNNNNNNNNNNNNNNNNNNNNNNNNNNNNNNNNNNNNNNNNNNNNNNNNNNNNNNNNNNNNNNNNNNNNNNNNNNNNNNNNNNNNNNNNNNNNNNNNNNNNNNNNNNNNNNNNNNNNNNNNNNNNNNNNNNNNNNNNNNNNNNNNNNNNNNNNNNNNNNNNNNNNNNNNNNNNNNNNNNNNNNNNNNNNNNNNNNNNNNNNNNNNNNNNNNNNNNNNNCCCCCAACAACCCCAAACUUGAACCUUUUUAUCACAUACAAUUAAGCUCAUCCCAACUCAAGGUAAAGAAUUUCAAAACAAGGGUUCACAUACUGUUUAAGGCUAAGGUUCAAAAAGGGUAAAAUAUUUUUAAGCAUUUUGGGUGAAAAUUUAGCUAGAGAAGGGUUUUCAAAAAUGACCUUGAUCAUAUGACAUUCACAUGCAAUUCAAUUGAUCAUCAAGAUUAAGGCAAUAUCAUCCAUGUUUUCCUGCGAACAAUACAUGCAACAAUAAAAACUCUGGAGCUCAAAAUCUCACACACAUGAUUCCUCACACACAAUUCAUUCAUACACCAUGCCUAGCAUCAUGACCACAAUCAUAAAUUCAUCACCCAUUUAUUUCCUGGAUAUCCUCAUGCAUUACAACUCAAUUCUCUUUCACAUCAAAUAUUCAUCAAAUAGAACCAUCAUGCACAUCAGUUAGUCGAACAAUUUCAAAACAAGUAACAAAGCCAAGAAUACACACCAAAAUUAAAAUUCAACCUAUUCUAGGAAUUUAAAAUGCAAAAGUGUCAGAAGAAAUUCUAGGUUGCCUCCUAGUAGCGCUUGUUUAACGUCGCGAGCCUGACCCAAACCUGGUUGGCACUCGUCAGUAAGUGUACUUUCUUCCACCACCCAUCAGUAGGUGUACCAUCCGGAUAUCCAUCAGUGGAUACCAAAAAAUUUUACCAUCCCUUAGUAGAUGCUACCCAAAAAUUGUUCAGAAAAUUUAAAAAGUACAAGUUCCAAAGAAAAUAAAACCAAAAACCGAAAAAAGAAAAUUGUUCCUAAAAAUACACAAUUUUAUUGCCAAAUCAAGUAACCUCUCUAGGAACUUGUACUUUUAAAAUUUUUGGAUUGAAAGCAUCCAUGCAUCUUAUUUUGGAUUUCACUAAGGAUAUUGAUUUGAGUGAUUUUGUCAUGUACCUUGGGAUUGUUGGGCAUUGGAUGAAACAGUGUAAAGCCAAGUUUUGUUUUGUUUAUUGUUUUGUUUUGUUUUGCUUGAGGACAAGCAAAAUUCUAUGUUUGGGGUGUUGAUGAAGGUUGAAAAACAGUGAUUUUCAUAUGUCAAUUUGGACCAAAUUACACCCUUUACUACUCGGAACGAGCUUAGAAUCAAGCAAAACUCAAAAAAUGAGUCUCGAGAGAGUCAAAAGUUGUUUUUAGCGAUUUUAUGCUUAUUUUGCAUUGUUUUGUAGCUAAUUUGAGAGAAUUAAGAAUGGAGUUGAAGAUACAGGUCGUUCACUCAAGAAAAGAGCAGAAAAGUUGAGUUUUGAAGAGUCGACGUACCGCCUAGCGGCACACCUAAACCGUCGGGCGGUCUAGGACAAGGAGUAGGCAGCAUUUCACACUGAGAGAAACCGACAGGCGUUGGCGAUUGCCGCCGAGCGGUGGCAUGGGAAACCGCCGGGCGGUGGCGAUUACCGCCGGGCGGUGGCGGCAGGUUGUGGCAAACCGCCGAGCGGCACACUUAAACCGCCCAGCGGUAGCACGCUGGACUUGGGCCUGAUUUUGACGUGCUCCUCACCUAUAAAUACCCCUACUACGAAUUCAGAGUCAUUCUUUUGACAGGGGAGAACGACCAGACCUAAUUUUGCUCUCUGGAGAGGAUAUCUUGGAUGCUUAGGCUCCUUUUCAUCUUUUCUAGGGUUUGCUCUUUCAUUCUUCUUCCAUUUUUCAUCUAUGGUGAACUAAACCCUAUUGUUGUUGGGGAAUUCAAUGUAAUCUUUUGAUACUCUCUCUUAUUGAAACUAUUGAUUAUUUAUAUGGUCUCCAUAUGUUUUGAUUGAUUAUUGUUGGGUUAUCAUNUGUGCUUAAGGCUUUUAUCGUUUAANUCNUUCGAUAUAUUNUUGUUUGUCGUUAUUGACAUGGGGACGUGCGGUAAUGACAUGAACUGGUGAGUAAUCUCUUGAUUCUGCAAUACCACCUAGGGAUAGGGGUAGGACGAUCGAUUGUGCUAACUUCUGUUUAUAAUGCGGUAUUAAUUACUAGGGGAGGCUAGGGAUAGCAAGCCAGUAAUUGAUAUUAGGCCCUUUUCGCCGAGGGAUUGGGUUAAGGGGAGGCUAAGAAAGUCGCAUAACAAUUGAAUCAAUCUAAUAAUCAAGGGUAGUAUGUAAGAGAGAGUGGAAUAAAUGAAAUUCUUAGUACCCAACAACAUCCAUUCAUCCAUUGUUUUCACUUAUCAAUUGAAUCAACCUUUAUUUUGCAUGUUAAUAUUUUUGCUCUCAAACCCAAUUUAUUAAUUUUAAUUUCUCAAGUCUUAUUAUUUUAAUUCACGCGAACGAGAAAGCCAUACGAGUCUCUUGGGAAAACAAUAUUUGGUCUUACCAUUUUUAUUACUUGUACGAUUUGGUACACUUGCCAAUUUGUCAACACUCUUCCAUCUUUUUGCUAGGAAUUGGCCUUGAAGGGAAGGGAAGAGGGAUAGGCCGAUCUGACAAAGGAGAUGCACUUGUGGUGGUGGUGGGAGAAGGGGAAGGUCUACCUGGAGAAGAAAAACAACCACCGAUAGAAGAAGGUCCACCCACCUCAAAUGUCCUGCGUGGACCAGACUGGUCCUCUAUCCUAUGAGAAGCGGCAGGCGUGGGUCUAGGUUUAGGAGUUGGCUCUGAAGGUACAACAAUCUGCUUCCUUGAUCUGAGGGUUAUGGCACUCACAUUCUUCGGGUUCUGCACAAUCUGGGAUGGUAACUUAUCAGAAUUCUGAGACUGCACCUGGUUUAGCUGAGUAGCCAUCUGGCCCAUCUGAUUAGUGAGACUCUGUAUGGAAGCUCUAGUCUCCUGCUGAAACUGCAUGUUCUCUUUCUGAAACCGUAGGUUCUCUUUCCAAUGAGGGCUCAGAAGAAGUAGAGGGUUGGGCAGCUGGUUGGGCAGGUGCCUCUUGUUGCUGUUGUUGUUGUUGCCUUCAUUGGAAGAGCUUGUGAGACGGAUGACUUUGCAGAACCUGUAGUUUCAGAAAGAGAACAUGCAGUUUGAGCAGGGGACUUGAGCUUCCAUACAGAGUCUCACUAAUCAGAUGGGUCAGAUGGCUACUCAACUAAACCAGGUGCAAUCUCAGAAUUCUGAUAAGUCACCAUCCCAGACUGUGCAGAAUCCGAAGAAUGUGAGUGUCAUAACCCUCAGAUUAGGGAAGCAGAUUGUUGUGCCUUCAGAGCCAACUCCUACAUCUACACCUACGCCUACCGCUUCUCAUAGGACAGAGGACCAAUCUGGUCCACGCAGGACAUUUGAGGUGGGUGGAUCUUCUUCUACCGUUAUUUUCCCGUUUUUCCUUAUUGUGCUUAAUUUGACCAGAAAUUCUUAUUUUAAUUAAUUUGAAUUUUCUAAGCUAAUUAAUUGCAUUUUUAAUUGCAGCGAAAAUAUUGGAGACAUAUUUUGGAGCAUCAGGAGGUGGCGUGGUGAUAACGGUCUAAAAACCGUUAUUUUCAUGCUUACAUCUGAUAGUAAAACACAACCUUUGUGGCUUAGAAUGAGCUCUAAAUCAAGUAAAACACUUAGUUGUGUCUUGUGAGAGUCAAAAGUUGGUUUUAGAGAUAUUAUGCUUGUUUUGCAUUGUUUUGCAGGGUUUUUGGAUGAAUUAAUGAUGAAAGUGAAGUAAGGUGGACUUAGACCCAUGAAAGAAGUAGAAAAAUGAUGAAAAGAAGGGUCAAGCAAGCCGCUGAGCGCCAGAAUGGUCCGCUGAGCGCUCGGAGCAAUUAGAGGGAAACCGCUCAGCGGCAAAACUGACCGUUGAGCGGUCAAAGCAGCACAAGGCAAACCGAUGAGUGGUAAAAUUAGGCGCCUGGGCGGUUGUCUAUUUUUUUUAGCGAGAUUCUGUAAAGCUUUCUGUAAUCUAUCUGUUAUCUUUUGGGGCUUAUAUAUAGCCCCAGUGCGAAUUAGAAGGGGAUUCUUUUGGCAAAGAGAAACGUCCAGAGCUAUUCCACACCAUCGCUAAACAAGUAUUGAUAAUUUUGACUUUUUGUUUAUCACGAUUUCUAAAUUUAUAUUCGAUUGUAACUUUUUUUACUCUAAUGCAGACCUAAAUCUAGACAGUCUUCUGAUAACGGUUCAAAAACCGUUAUUUUUAUACUUAAGUUUGAUGCAAAACACACCCAUAUUGGCUUAGAACUAGCUUGAAAUCAUGCAUUUUGUUUAAGUUAGGAAAUAAGAGAGUCAAAGGUGGUUUUCUUGGUUUUAUGCUUUGUCUUCUCAUGAUUUGGCAGGUUUUAUCUGGAAUUGAAUGAAGGAUGUUGAAGGAGAGGAGAGUUGGACUCAAGAGAAGGCGAAAGAGUGAACAAUUGGAGAAACGCAGCCACCGCUCAAUGUUAACCUAGCGUUGAACGCCAGCCUCUUGGGAGAAGUCAUUGGCCAACCCUUGAGCGUCAACGUUGAGGGAAACCAGGGGUAUCGCACUCACCGUUGAGCGGUACCGCUGAGCGCCAGCUUCUUUACAUAGAUACGACACAACGCUUAAGCGUCAACGUUGAGGGGAACCAGGGGUAUAGCACCCACCGCUGAGCGGCGCCACUGCGUGCCAGUCUUUGGUCUUGGGCCAUUUUCUGCUUUGUUUUAAUGAAUUAUAAAUAGAAUUGUAUUACCCUAAGAGGUCAUCUUUUGGCAGAAAGGACACUGAAACACUCUCUUCACCCCUUGGACGCGAAAGCUCCAACUUAUUAAAUCUAGGGUGUUAUCUUUCAUUCUUUCCAUUUAUUUCAUCUAGUUUAUCAUGUCCAUGUUGAACUAAACUCCAUUGUUGUUGUGGAAAACAAUGUAAUCCUUUAAUACUCUCAUAUAUUGAAUUGAUAAGGAGGAAUCGGAAAACCCCCAACAACACCAUUCAUCCAUACCGUACAACUGUCAAUUGAUCAAUUUUACAUGCAUAUUUCAAUUUCAUCAUUUCCAUUAUAAACCCUGAUUUUCUUUAUUCAAGUCUUAUAAAAAUCAAGAAAUCAUAUGAAGGUUUAGGCUUAAGAGUCUCUAGGGAAACGAUUCUCAGACUUACCAUUUAUUAUUACUUGAUACGAUUCGGUACACUUACUGGACCCUUAACAUCUUCCUCCAGACAGAAGGUUGGAGUUUUAUUUACUUUUUAUUUUUAUAAAGAUGUGAACAAUUUUGGGUAUUAAGUUUUCAUUGUAUUAAUUGAUCAUUGCAGAUCAAUAAAAAAUUGCAUUAGUUAAGGACAUCCAGAAAAACACCUCUUCAAGCUAUAAAAUUAAGUGUGGAUGAUCGUGAGAUGAUUAAAUAUUUGUAAAUAUUGACAAUGAUUGAAUAUUGUAUGACUCUUAAAUUGAAUUUGACAAUUUUUUGUCAUUAACAUUUUUACUUGUUAUAUGAAAUAAAUGUUAUUUUUUUAUUUUUAUAAUAUAUUUUGUUUUAUUAUAUAAACUUUUAUUGAAGUCCUAUAAUUUUAUUUUUUUCAUUUCCUAUUAAUUGUUUUCAAAUCUGAAAUUACACCUUUUCACUCUUGAGUUGAAAUUUAUUUCUAUUAACACAUCAAAAUGUAAUAUUUACCUAACAAAGUUCUUAAAUAUAUUUACCUAACAUACUUACUUAACAUAGUUACACAUAAAAUAGAUCCUAAACUCAAAAUGUAAUAUUGAAGGAUUUAAUCAUUUACAAAUAGUUAAAAAAAUGCAGCCCACUCCUCCCGAACAUCCUUUAUGACAUGUUGCUCCAUUGGAGACGUGUCAUCAAACAUCUACACAAUGAAUAGUUUGAGUCAAGUUAUAAUAUUAAUGGCUUAAGAUCUUAGUUAUAAAAGGUUCACAUUACCAAAUUCCAUGAGUCAACGAUAUUUGCGAACAUAAUUUUCUGCAUGUGCCUCAUGACAUAAUAUCUGCACUCAAAGCUUCCCGGUUUAUGUGAGCACUACAAGUUAAAUUUAUAAAGUAUCAUAAAAUUUAUAUUUGUAUUUAUAGUUAGAAAGAUUAACUACUUAUAGUUGGUGCAAUGAACUGCUACUUCUUUCUAGAGACGAUAUGUGUUCCCUACAACCUUGAAUAUGCCUCAACCACUCUGAAGUUAAAUGUACAUUGAAAUGAGUCCUAAGAAACUUAGUAAAAUCAGUUAUGUGUACACAACAAAUAAAUUAUUAAAAAACUUAUGAUAUUAGUGUACUUUUAAUUGCCAAAGUGCGAGGUGUUUUGUGCAAUGAACAUAAGAGAACUACAAGAAAUUGUUGAGGAACAAUUAGUAACAAUUGUUAGUGACCCCAAUAGAUUCAAACAAUAAUAUUGUUAAAUAACAUUUACAUAAAUAGAAUUUUAUUAAUAAAAAUUAUACACUUACUGUUGCAAAUAAGGUGUUAAGUACACUUGUUUUUUUCUGUUUAUAAAAGCCUCUAAGAGGUACUUUUGGACCUCUUCACCUUUAUUCCCAACUCCUUGAAUGGCAACAGGGUCAAUAAAACCAUAAAUGUGAUCAUUCUUUCUUUCAUGUUCAACCGAUGUAAAUACUUUAAACAUUGAAAAUGAAUAAUGUUAGAAUAUAUUUAAACUUCAUAAUUGUAGAAAUUUACUUACAACAACCAAAUUUGUAGUACUGAUAUACAUAACAUAUCAGUGCCAGAGAGAAUUUCAAACAUAUCCCUCUGACAAAUGAAGAAAGAGAGCAAAGAUGUCCUGUUGGUGACUUCAGGAGGCAUUUGUAACUCUAUAGGAGAAAGGGACAUCUUCACUGCCAACACACCAAGUUGUUCUAGAAUUGUUUGUUGUGGCGGUUGUGACAGUUGUUGAAGUGAUUCUUUUAUAUCUUCCUGUCCUUGUGCUUCAACCUGAUAUACAUAUUUAAAAACUUACCAAAAAUUAGUAUUACUAAUAGAAAGAACAAAGUGCAUAGUUAAAAUAAUUAUCUUCUUUACAAUUGCUUUUGAUAAUCUAAUGGGCCAAAGGAUAAAAUUUCCAAGGGCAUGUCCCACUGUUUGAACCUCUUGAGUGGGCACAGGGACUCGAGCUAUAGCAUCUUGUACGUCUACAACCACCACUCUCAUCAUAUCAACUGUAAUGGUUUCAUGGUGUAUGAUUGACCUCAAUGUAUACAUUUUACCUAAGUUAUCCAAAUAAUAUUUGUAAAAUAUAUCAAAGAAUUUAAUUCAACAAACAAGUACAUCUAGAUAAUAUAAUAAGAUAUAAGGCCACCAAGCACUGUAGGACAUCAUCACUAAACAACUCGUAGUCUGCAUCAAUAAUGGGAGAAGCGUUUUUAGGAGAAACAUCACAACUCUCCUUUGUGCUUAUACAAAGAUGAGAAGGUUGAGGGGGAUUCCUAGGUUGGCUUGAGGCAAAAGCUAAUUUUGCUCGCACAUCUGCUAACAAUUGUGCCCGCAUAUCAGAGUAUUCCUUCUUCAAUUGUGCCCUCAUCUCCUGUCUAAUUUCUUCUUUGAUACCCUUGAGGACCUCCUCACUGACAUGGGCUUUACUAUGAUGACUUGUUGGAGGACCGAAGAAUUGACGGAUGCCAAUAAAUUUUGCCAACACCUCGAACACGUCCAAGAUGCUCUGGACGACCAAUGGCAACUGCCAAUAUAUCCUCACAGCCCUCAGGAGUGAAUGUACCUUGUGUGCUCUACUCCACCAACCCAUCCUACAACCAAACAUUUAAAGUUAAGUUAAUCACAUAUGGUAGAUUGUAUGUUGUUAAUAUAGGGACUUACAAUGCGCCUAGCUACGCUUGUUGUUUCCUUAGAUAUGUACUCCCCAAAUGGUCUUUGGCGAGCUCUCUUCCAUGUAACAUGGCGUGGAGGACGUGUUAUGGUACUAGUAUUAGAGGCCCCACUAGGAUUAGAGGCAGAUGCCUUUUUCAUCAUCUUGUGCUCCAAUUUCUCAUAACCCCCACGAGACAUUCUAUGGGGGUGGACAUUUUUCUUUGCAAUCUCUUGUGCAGCUCUCCUCUUAGCCUAUGACAUGAAUGUAUUGAUAAUUAAUUAUGUUAGAAAUAUGUUAACAUAAAUAGUUAAACUAUGAUAUAAAAUGCAUUUACAUGAAAGGCAGGAUCUAAUCGCUUCAACUUAAAGACUUGUCAUGUUUCCUCAUCAAGAAAUUGAUACUUUUCACAAGGGCUUUUAUCAGUUUUGGAACCAUAAAUAUAAUGACUUUUAAGCAUAGUCUUGAAACUCUUCCAUCUUUCCCUGGCAUAUGAAAUCCAUUUCGUCCUCAAUGGCUUAGUGUUUGGGACGUCAUAUGUGACCUGUGCAAUAAGAAUGAAUGACGUAUGUUAAAUAUGAGUUAUAUAUGUUAAUGACACAUUAUAUCAAAGUUAAGAUUUCAUACUAAGAUGCUCUACCAUAUCUGGUUCUUCACAUUCUCUAGAACAUGAUCCCAAUCAUCACAAAGAAUGGAUGCCUUGCUCGAAAUUCAUUAGUUAUGUGGCCUUGCUCGGUAGAAGUAAGGCAUCCAUUCUUUGUGAUGAUUAGGAUCAUGUUCCAGAGAAUGUGAAGAACCAAAUAUGGCAGAGCAUCCUAGUAUGAAAUCUUAACUUUGAUAUAAUGUGUCAUUAACAUAUAUAACUCAUAUUUAACAUAUGACAUUCAUUCUUAUUGCACAGGUCACAUAUGACGUCCCAAACACUAAGUUAUUGAGGACGAAAUGGAUUUCAUAUGCCGAGGAAAGAUGGAAGAGUUUCAAGACUAUGCUUACAUGUCAUUAUAUUUAUGGUUCCAAAACUGAUAAAAGCCCUUGUGAAAAGUAUCAAUUUCUUGAUGAGGAAACAUGGCAAGCCUUUAAGUUGAAGCAAUUACAUCCUGCCUUUCAAGUAAAUUCAUUUUAUAUCAUAGUUUAACUAUUUAUGUUAACAUAUUGCUAACAUAAUUAAUUAUUUAUACAUUGAUGUCAUAGGCUAAGAGGAGAGCUGCAUAAGAGAUUGCAAAGAAAAAUGUUCACCCCCAUAGAUUGUCUCGUGGGGGUUAUGAGAAAUUAGAGCAGAAGAUGAUUAAAGAGGCAUCUGCCUCUAAUCCUAGUGAAGCCUUUGAUACGAGUACCACAACACGUCCUCCACGCCAUGUUACAUGGAAGAGAGCUCGCCAAAGACCAUCUAGGAGUACAUAUCUAAGGAAACAACAAGCAUAGCUAGGUGCAUUGUAAGUCCCUAUAUUAACAACAUACGAUCUACCAUAUGUGAUUAACUUAACUUUAAAUGUUUGGUUGUAGGAUGAGUUGGUGGAGCAGAGCACAUAGGGUACAUUCACUCGCGAGGGCUGUGAGGAUAUAUUGGUAGUUGCCAUUGGACGUCCAAAGCAUCCUGGACGUGUUUGAGGUGUUGGUAAAUUUAUUGGCAUCCGUCAAUCCUUUGGUCCUCCAACAAGUCAUCAUAGUAAAGCUUAUGUCAGUGAGGAGGUCCUCAAGGGUACCAAAGAAGAAAUUAAACAGGAGAUGAGGGCACAAUUGAAGAAGUUGUACUCUGAUAUGCGGGCACAAUUGUUAGCAUAUGUGCGAGCAGAAUUAGCCUCCCCCUCAAGCCAACCUAGGAAUCCCCCUCAACCUUCUCAUCUUUGUAUAAGCACAAAGGAGAGCUGUGAUGUUUCUCCUAAAAACGCUUCUCCCAUUAUUGAUGCAGACUACGAGUUAUUUAGUGAUGAUGUCCUACAGUGCUUUGUGGCCUUAGGUAAUUUAUCUUAUAAUAUUAUCUAGAUGUACUUGUUUGUUGAAUUAUAUUCUUUGAUAUAUUUUACAAAUAUUAUUUGGAUAACUUAGGUAAAAUGUAUACAUUAAGGUCAAUCAUACACCAUGAAACCAUUACAGUUGAUAUGAUGAGAGUGGUGGUUGUAGACGUACAAGAUGCUACAGCUCGAGUCCAUGUGCCCACUCAAGAGGUUCAAACAGUGGCACAGGCCCUUGGAAAUUUUAUCCUUUGGCCCAUUAGAUUAUCAAAAGCAAUUGUAAAGAAGAUAAUUAUUUUAACUAUGCACUUUGUUCUUUCUAUUAUUAAUACUAAUUUUUGGUAAGUUUUUAAAUAUGUAUAUCAGGUUGAAGCACAAGGACAGGAAGAUAUAAAAGAAUCACUUCAACAACCGUCACAACCGCCACAACAAACAAUUCUAGAACAACUUGGUGUGUUGGCAGUGAAGAUGUCCCUUUCUCCUAUAGAGUUACAAAUGCCUCCUGAAGUCACCAACAGGACAUCUUCGCUCUCUUUCUUCAUAUGUCAGAGGGAUAUGUUUGAAAUUCUCUCUGGCACUGAUAUGUUAUGUAUAUCAGUACUACAACUUUGGUUGAUGUAAGUAAAUUUCUACAAUUAUGAAGUUUAAAUAUAUUCUAACAUUAUUCAUUUUCAAUGUUUAAAGUAUUUACAUCGGUUGAACAUGAAAGAAAGAAUGAUCACAUUUAUGAUUUUAUUGACCCUGUUGCCAUUCAAGGAGUUGGGAAUAAAGGUGAAGAGGUCCAAAAGUACCUCUUAGAGGGUUUUGUAAACGGAAAAAAGGCAAGUGUACUUAGGACCUUAUUUGCAACAGUAAGUAUAUAAUUUUUAUUAAUAAAAUUCUAUUUAUGUAAAUGUUAUUUAACAAUAUUAUUGUUUGAAUCUACAGGGGUCACUGACAAUUGUUAUUAAUUGUUCUUCAAUAGUUUCUUGUAGUUCUCUUAUGUUCAUUGCACAAAAAACCUCGCACUUUGGCAAUUAAAAGUACACUAAUAUUGUAAGUUUUUUAAUAAUUUAUUUGUUGUGUACACAUAACUGAUUUUAUUAAGUUCCUUAGGACUCAUUUCAAUGUACAUUUAACUUUAUAGAGUGGUUGAGGCAUAUUCAAGGUUGCAGGGAACACAUAUCGUCUCUAGAAAGAAGUUGCAGUUCAUUGCACCAACUGUAAGUAGUUAAUCUUUCUAACUAUAAAUACAAAUAUAAAUUUUAUGAUACUUUAUAAAUUUAACUUGUAGUGCUCACAUAAACCGGGAAGCUUUGAGUGCAGAUAUUAUGUCAUGAGGCACAUGCAGAAAAUUAUGUUCGCAAAUAUCGUUGACUCAUGGAAUUUGGUAAUGUGAACCUUUUAUAACUAAGAUCUUAAGUCAUUAAUAUUAUAACUUGACUCAAACUAUUCAUUGUGUAGAUGUUUGAUGACACGUCUCCAAUGGAGCAACAUGUCAUAAAGGAUGUUCGGGAGCACUGGGCUGCAUUUUUUUUAACUAUUUGUAAAUGAUUUGAUGUUUCAAUAUUACAUUUUGAGUUUAGGAUCUAUUUUAUGUGUAACUAUGUUAAGUAUGUUAGGUAAAUAUAUUUAAGAACUUUGUUAGGUAAAUAUUACAUUUUGAUGUGUUAAUAGAAAUAAUAUUGAUUAUUUUACUUGUUAUUUAUUUUUAAACUGUAUUCUGGGAUUGAAUUUUAUGCAUAUCUGGAUAUGGAUAGUAGUACAUACAAAUCAUAUAUUUUUUUAAAAAAAGUCACUUUUUACACCGGUUAAAUCCCUGUUAGGUAUAAAAAGUUUUGUUUUUUCACAUUGGUUAUAACAGCAUCAUGUAUAAAAGCGAGCUUCUUUUUUACCUGUUCUAGUUCGAGUAGGUAUAAACAUGAUUGUAACUAUCAAACUUUUAUACCUGUUGCAGACAGAACCAGUGUAAAAAGUUAAGUUUUUUAUAUCGGUUCUAGAAUCGGUGUAAAAACGAAAACUUUCUAUACCCCUGCUUCUAUACCAACACGAAAACCAGUAUAUACAGUCAUAUUUAAUCGAUAUAAAAAACCUUUUUUGACAUAGUGGGAAACCGCGAAAGAAAGGGAAGUAUUAUACAUUGACAGAUGAAUUCUACGAAAUAUCCAUAGGGGAGUGAGGAUAUAGUGAGGAUAAAUUUAGAGCACUAUUUAAAAAAAAUCCACUCAUAGUGAAUCCAAUUUCGAGAUGAUAAAGCGAGGAAAGUGACACUUUAGUAAUUCCUUAACAAAAUAUACUUAACAACCCACAUAUUAAUGGUUAAGAUGAGAUGCUAGCAUUUUGUUGAAACCAGAUGCAACAAAAGGUUGCUCAUAGUAAACUCCUAAAAUUUUAGCUUCUUUGCUUUUAACAAAGCCUUCCAUAAUUGUCGUAACCGGAAUCGCGACGAGACGAUGACCCAAAAAAAGGAUGGGUUUUGAAAAGAAAUUUGGAGUCACCACCAUAGCUUAUUCUGGAAAACUACAGAAAAAUUAGAAAAAAAGACAUGGUCCAUGAAAACCAGAUUUUGAGUUCGGGAGUCAGUUACGUGUAGGGAAGGUAUUAACACCCUACAACGCUUGCCCUAAGGCAGUACCUUUAAUUAAAUGCGUGAAUGUGAUGUGGCUUUCAAAAUGUUUAAUUAUCCCUAAAAAUAAAACUCUAAAGAAACAAAAUAUAUUUUUUUUUGUGCCGAAUAAAGAUUGACCUUACUCCCACAUAUUCUCAAAAUGAGAAAUCAGGGUUACGUAGUAUUAAAUAAAAGGUUGUUUGUUGUUUGAAAGUAUUUAUAUUUUGGUAUUUUUUUUAUAAGAAAGGGAAAAUGUUUUUAGCACAAGGACGAUGCGAGCAUUACACUUGUGCUUAACCUUUAAAACAUAUUUUUGGUAUUUUUUAUAAAAGAAAGAGAAAAGGUUUUUAGCACAAGAGCGACGCGAGUGAUCACACGUGUUCUUAACCUUUAAAACAUAUUUUUCGUAUUUUUUAUAAAAGAAAGAAAAAGUUUUAACACAAGGACGAUGCGAACGAUCACACGCGUGUUUAACCUUUAAAACUUCUUUUUUGUAUUUUUUAUAAAAGAAAGAUAAAAGGUUUUUAGCACAAGGACAAUGCGAGCGAUCACACGUAUGCUUAAACAUUUUUUUGGUAUUUUUUAUAAAAGAAAGAGAAGUUUUUUUUUAACACAAGGACGAUACGAACGAUCACACGUGUGCUUAACCUUUAAAACAUAUUUUUUAAUUAUAUAUAUAUAUAUAUAUAUGUGUGUGUGUGUGUGUGUGUGUGUUUAUUUUAAAAUAGGUAGAUAUUUGAAAUAAAAAAACACAAAUAAAAAACAAAACAAAUAACAAAUGAAAUAAAAUAAUAAAUAAAGGUUUUUUUUCUUGGUGGAAUGGGCUUAAGCCCAAAGAAAAUGAGGUGUGCCAUGAGGACAAAGGGGGCGUAAAAAUAAAAAAUAUAAUCAGAACAAAAAGCUCCUUAAAAAACAAAGAAAACAAAAAAAAAAAAUAAUAAAAGGCAGGCUAGGAAACGUGGGCCCUAGAUCCAGGCCAAUAAACUCUUCCUCCCAGAUCAGAAGCUUCACAGGGGUUCUCGCACUCCCUUCCCCAUUUCGCUCAACAAAGAACAAGAGGCAUAGGGUUGCUCUCCCUCCUCCCAGCCGGCAGAUCCUAAGGCUACUACCACUUGUUUCAUCCGCCACGAACCGCCGUCAAUGGCGUCCCUGGUGACAUCGCGUGCUGCCAGAGUCACCGUCGAACUCGACGUCAGGCCCUUCCUCCAUUUCUUCUCGCGCGACGACGGCCACCCACCGAACCAGCACCGUCGCACCCGGAGACGCUUUCUCCGCGCCGCCGACGAGGUCUGCGGCUGCUGGUGCCUUCCUCAAACAGCCCCCCUCCGCCGCAGCUUAAACCCUUGAGGAUCGUACGAAAUUCUCCUCCUCUUCCCUUCGCGCUUGUAAGCGGGGGAAUCCCCUUCUUCUUCUUCUUCGAUUUCGGGGUAGCCGUCGCCACUUCUCCCAAAGCAAAGCUCUGCGAUCCCGAGCCGAGAAGAAAUGCACCCCACCACGCUGGCUUGGACACUCACCCUUUCCUCCUCUCGCGGACCGAAUCUAGAUCUAAGGGGUUCCUCACUGCUGGCAAAGGCAAACCAGCUCCUUCUAUACUAUUCCUUUCCUCUAAACACACUCGUAUACUAAACCAGCGCAGGCUAGGGGCCCUUGUAACUCUAAGACUCAAGAAAACCAAAAUAAAACACUAAGGUACAAAUCUGAUUUUGGUUGUUGGCUUCAAUUGACACAACCGAACGGUGAAUGAAGCGUUCUCUGUGUGAGUUUGUGUAAGUUUUUUCUGGGGGUGUUAUGCGGGUUGGCUUUGUGAAAAAAGGAGACAAAGAAUAUUUCAAUGUGUGUUUGGUAUUGUGCGUGUUGAAAAUGCGAUGGAGGGGUUUGGAUAUGGUGGUGGAUGGAGACGUGAUGGUGCACACUGGUCUAGGUAUUGUCAGGUGGGGAAGAUGGAUGACGAGGUUAAAGUGCGAGAUGAGAUGACGAGGGUGAAGUUGAAGGUGAAAGUGUUUGUUUGUAAUGCAUUGAUUAAUGGCUGCUGUGAGCAGAGUCGGAUAAGAAAGGCCAAAGAGGUAUUUAAGGGAAUGUUGGAUUGGAAGGUGAGACCGAUGGGUACAUCAGGGAAGGGAGAAUGAGUAAGGCUUUGGUGCUUUGUGAGGAGAGGCUAGGGGAAGGAAUUGAUCCCUCGGUUGUGACCUGUAAUACGGUCCUCAAAUGGUUGGUCAUAGCUUCACUAGGCAGGGUGUGCUCAGGGGAAGGGGAUGAAAAAUAAGAAGGCAUAAUGGAGAACAUGGAAGACUCAUACUACAAUAAGUAUUCAAGCAAAACCAACUCAAGCAUAUCAAGCAUGAAAUAUAAUGCAGUGAUCUUACGUGAUUGCAAGAGUGAGUAAGGCGUUUACCUCUCGUAGUGUGUUUCCGGUGAUUCCUUCUCCUUCUCUGGCUGGCGUUCCUUCUUCUCUUCCUAUGUAUCCUCAGGCUCCAAUGGGAUGAUCCUUUGAUAAUGAAGAGAGCCUCUUUCAUAGUCCCCUUUUUCUUUUGGGUAAACCUCUUUUCAACUCUUUUUUACAAUUUUUUUCAUCCGCAUCUGCCAAAACGAAAAUCGCCUCUUGCUUGUAGCAGAAACCGUUUUGUUUUGCCCCGUACCACGCGAUCCUGUCGUACCUCUCCACCAAAGCCUUCUUUUUCUCUCUUUUUUUUUCAUUUUUUUACUAAAAGACAAGAACUGCAUUUUUUAAACUUUUUUAGUUUUUUAUUAUAUAUUUUUAUUUUUUUAGCUAUAUUAUAUUCAAACAAGACAAAAAAUAAAAGGGUAAAAAUAAAAACAAAACUUAAACAUAAAAUAAAAAAGAAAAAAGAAAAGUAAAAUAAAAAAUAUAGAAAAAGAUAAAAGUAAAAUAAAAUAAAUAAAAAGGCAAUAAAAUAAAUAAAAAAACAAAAAAUAAAAAUAAAAAUAAAAACAUGAAAAUAAGUAAAAAAUGUGACAAUAAAAAUGUAAUAUAGAAAAAAAACAACCCAAACAAAAUUUGGUGUUAAUAAUAAUGAAGUGUCAUAAUGCUACUCUCUCAAUAUAUAGAGGUCAAUAGGGUAAUCAAGGGCAAGCAAUACGCACAAGAUAUUAGAAAGAAGAAUCCAAUCACUAAACAUCAAAGAAUUUUAAUUAGCCACAAUUUUCAAAUUAAAAGGAAAAGCAAUAAAAAUAUUUCCUCACGAAAAAGUAUAAUUAAUUAACCAUAACAUUAACGCUUUGUUCGCUUGAACAGAUUGUACUGUUCAAGCGAAUUUGUGAGCGAAGAAAGUUUUGAAAGUUGCGUUCGCUUGUACUGAUUUGAGGCGAUGGAAAAGCGAGGAUUUGCGUUGAUUUUGAGUGGAUUGCACUGUGCUCACCAUCUCGCAAAAAUGAGAUGAUUUGCGAUGAUUUACAACGAAAAGACUCAUAUACCCUGUAUCAUUCUGAAAAUUCCAACUGAAUAAAACAUUAUAAUAUUAAUGUUUCUCGCACACACAUUAUCGUUCUUUUUUGUAGGUCGAAUACGUGUGGUUGUGGAGAGGGGAUGAUGAAGAAGAAGGAGGCGGAUGACGACGGCGGACGAAGAAGACGAAGGUUGAAGCUGAAGAUGGCGCGCACAUGUAUUCCAAUCCAGACAAAGCAUAUCCGGAUGGAGGUAUUUCGAAGAUGACGGGCAUGGUAUUCGGAUACACACUUGCUGUAUCCGGAUCCAGGUUUUUGCAGAAUUUGCUUAGGAAGACUAUCCGGAUAAACCAUCGCGUAUCCGGUUCGAGCCGUUUUGUAUCGAGUUCUUUGCAUGGCAUGGUUGUUUCCAGUUCUUUGCAUGGCAGUGAUGGGUUCUUUUCGAUAGCAGUCACCGGUUGGCCAGACCUUCCUUCCUUGGUCCGUCGCCACAGCUAGCUUAGGUGAAGUGUCUUUACCACGAAACAAAUAAAACCCUUACCAAAAACCCAUCAAUCAUUCCAGCACACAAAAAUCCUCACUUAAUCCCAAAAACAAACACACCUCCAAUUCGAAACCAACACCAGCAAAGACGCCAAAAAAUAAUAUUUAGAAAAAGAGCAGAAGCAACAACAAAAAUGAAGUGAAAAAAUGGAAAAUAAGUGUCACCGUUCUGCCAUCUAUGACAUGUUUAUCCUCAAGAACCCUAUCGAGAAUGGUGGGAUCCGCGAAGACAACGAAACCAAAGCCCCUGGGCUUGCCAGUGUUCUUCUCUCGCAUAACAGAAGUGCUCAAAACGUCGCCGUAGUUGCCGAAAUGCUCCUUGAGCUUGUCCUCCGUAGUGUCCCACGAUAUCCCACCGAUGAAUAAUUUCCCCUGAUCUGAAUCCAUUCCCCUCUCUCCCUCUGAAGGUAUAUAUGAAUAAAUAAAAAUGAAUAGUGUGUUGGCGAUUUGGUGAGAAGGAAGAAGCUAGGAAUUUAGGUUUGAUUUGGGAACGGAGAAGAAAAAAGGAAGAAAGAAGGAAGAGAGGGUUUGGAGGUUGAGGGCUUCCAAUAAAUGAAUGGGAGAGUGUGUUGGGUUUUUGUAAUGUAGUAAAAUUGCUUCUCAGGAAUUACUCCCUUUUAACGGCUCAGCUUUUCCUGAUUCAAUUUCCUCACACGUGUACCCCAUGCCAAUUUUAUUCCUUCCAUUGAUAAUACAAACAAAUACUACAUUUUAAAAAAUAUUUAUUUUACUUUAUUAUAAUUUUUUAAAUAUUUUAAAAAUUAAUUUACUUAUUAUUAAUUAAUUUCCUUUCUUUGUUAACAUUUAUACAUUUAAAUAUAACAUUAAAAAAUAACAUUUUAUAUUACUAAAAUAACUAGGGGCAUUUUGGUAAUCUUUCAUUUCUACCAAUUAAACAAAUUUUUUAAUUCUAUCACAUCAAUCAAAUCCUACACUAAUUCUCACAAACUUUAUCCUCAAAUCCACUCUCAAUUACCCACAAAUCUACUCAAAAAAACAACAACAAAAUUACUCUCAAAUCCACUCAAAUCAUCUCCCCUAAAUCAUCUCCCUCAAAUCCAUUAAUAAGAACAUAGCCUAAAGUAGCAAUAACAUAAAAAAUACAUCUCUAUGUUCUAAGAGUAGUUCCUGGUAGCACACACUCAUGACCACCUUCUAACCAUAAAUUGAAACCGCCAAAAGAAACUAAAAUACAAAAUGUUUGCCUCAGACCCUCAAGAGAACUUAUUUAAUUGAUGCAAAACCGUGAAGGAACCAUAGAACCCUAGAAUGGAUUGAUGAAUCGGUGGAAAAGGGGUUUAAAACCGUGUUGUCGCAACCAAAAUUUUGACGGGACGACGAUCCAAAAAAGAAAACGAGUUUUGAAAAAGAUUUUGAAAUCGCUACCAUAGUUUAUUUUGGAAAACUACGGAGAAACCAUAAAAAAAGACACGGUUCAUGAAAACUAGAUUUUGGAUUUGAGAGUCGGUUACGUGUAGGGAAGGUAUUAGCAUCCUAUAACGCCUGCCCGAAGACAGUACCUUUAAUUAAAAAGACAAAUUUGAUGUGGUUUUCAAAAUGUUUAAUCAUCCUUAAAAAUAAAACUCUAAAAAAACAAAAUAUUUUUUUUUAUUUAUGCUUGACAAGGACUGACCUUACUCUUACGGAAUCUCAAAAUGAGAAAUCAAGGCUACAUAGUUUUAGAUGAAAGAUUGUUUGUUGUUUGGAAAAGGAUGUUUUGUAUUUUGGUAUUUUUGUGUGAGAAAGAGAAAAGGUUUUUUAGCACAAGAACGAUGCGAGCGAUCACACAUGUGUUUAACCUUUAAAGCAUUUUUUGAUUAUUUUUAGAAGAAAGAAAAGGUUUUAGUACAAGGCCGAUGGGAGCGCUCCCCUACGUGUGCUUUAACUCUUUAAAACAUAUUUUUAUUAUUUUUGUAAAAGAAGGGAAAAAGGCUUUUAGUACAAGGCGAUGUAAAAGAAGGGAAGACCUACGCGAACGGUCGCACGUGUGCAUUAACAUUUUAAAACAUAUUUUUAUUAUUUUUGUAAAAAAAAAGGAGAAAAGGCUUUUAGCACAAGGCCUACGCGAAUGAUCACACGUGUGCUUUAACCUUUAAAAAAGUAUUUUUAUUAUUUUUGUAAAAAAAAAAGGAAAAGGCUUUUAGCACAAGGCUACGCGAACGGUCGCACGUAUGCUUUAACCCUUUAAAACAUAUUUUAAUUAUUUUUGUAAAAAAAAAAGGAGAAAAGGCUUUUAGCACAAGGCCUACGCUAAUGAUCGCACGUGUGCUUUAACCUUUAAAAAAGUAUUUUUAUUAUUUUUGUAAAAAAAAAAAAGGAAAAAGCUUUUAGCACAAGGCUACGCGAACGGUCGCACGUAUGCUUUAACCCUUUAAAACAUAUUUUAAUUAUUGUUGUGAAAAAAGGAAAAAGGCUUUUAGCACAAGACCUAUGCGAAUGGUCGUAAGUGUGCUUUAACCUUUAAAAUAUAUUUUUUUAUGUCAUUUUUUAAAAAAGUUGGUAAGUAUUUAAAACAAAAAAGGUAAAAAAAAUAAUAAAAAAAUAAAAAAUAAAAAAUAAAAUAAAAAUAAAAAAUAAAAAAUAAAAAUAAAAAAUAGAAUAAAAUAAAAAUAAAAUAAAAUAAAAUAAAAAAUAAAGAGUAAAAUCAAAUAAAAAAAUAAUAAAUAAAUAAAUAAAAAUGAAAAUAAAAUAACAAGGUAAAUAAAUAAAUCGAAACAAGAAUAUAAGGGUGGGGAGGUGCCUAAAUAAGGGAAAGGAGGUGUGAAAACUACUUUUAAAAAUAAUCUGGGCUUAAAGCCCAAACUGGACUAGGUGAGAUUUAGCAGAAGCAGAGGGUGCAGGGAAGGAAGGGUUUUUUAGAUAGGUUGGGCUUAAGCCCAAAGAGCGCAGGGUGCGAAAUAGAGGGGAAAUGGGGUGCAGAAAGGAAACAAAGUUUUGUCCUUCGCAUUUUUUGGACGCCGCCCAACGCUGGCCCAGGGUUCCUAGUCAGAAUGCACUUGGUUUUUUCAUUCUGAAAGAAAAAAAAUAAUAAUUGAGUCUGGCCCAAUGACUCAAGCCCACGACUUCUACUCAGCAGAAUCAAUAGGGGUCUUACACUUUCACCCCCAUUCUCCAUUCAAAUGCCAUAUGCGAGAUCCAGGGUCUCUGCAAACCCUAAGGCAUUCAUCAUCGCCACUCACUGCUAUCUCCGCCAAACCGGCCGCCGCAAGUCGCCGCCCAAGCCAUCGCCGGCUCCACCGCUCACCAUCGGGCCCCUCGCCGGCCGCCUCUCUAGCUAUUCCUUUCUUUCCUAUUCGCGUGCGAGGGAGGGAACCCCUUCUUCGAGAACGACGCCGGCCACCGCAGGUCGCAGGUCAGGGCGCCACCAGAACCACCGUUCGCUGUCGAAACCGUCGCCCGCCGCCGCACCAACUCACGGCCACAGUGAGUCACCAGCAAUGAGAACCCUUUUCUCCUCUUCGAUUCGGCGCGAGAAGCUCUCUCCCUCCCUCGUCGAACACCGCCGGCGAAAUCGACCACCGCCAGCCACCUGAAGAGUCACCCUCCUCUCAAAUACGAUCCCCUUCUUCACCCCUCUCUUCUUUUGUUCUUUAUAUUGCUUGGGUUGAUUUCGCUUUGUAGUGCCUUUCUUUAUUAAGGAUUCAAUUCCUCUGAUUGGGAAUGAACAGAGCCGUAACCAAUUUGGGGGGUUUGGGUUUGUUUUUGCAGAGAGAAACAACGUGUAUCAAAAAUCAAGAUUGAUGGGGGUGUGUUUGGGAUAUCGAUUUUCAGGUUUGGGUUACACAUUGUGUAUGCAUUUCUUGCUCAAGGAUUCAACUAUUUCGUUGGCGGUUGGAGAUGAACAGAGGUGUGGAGGCUUAGUUUCGUUAUUUGGCUUGAAUGUUCUGAUUGAUACAGGUGAAGAAUGCUCUCGAGAUGGAAGGCAGCUGCGACAGACAUUGUUAUUCAGAUUGAGGGAGUCCUAUGGUCUGCUAGAAAUACUAUUUCUGUUUUCUAUUUCGUACGAGGAUGGAUAUGAAAGGAUACAUCAGAUUCUGCCUAUGUUUUCUUCUUAUUAGAGUUUUCUGGAAUGUUUUCUGGGUGUAAGUAAAGAGGGUGUUUGGAGUCGGGAUACACGCCUAUGUUCCAUUUUCAGUUAAAUAUGAUGAAUUUUGCAGGCAUUGAAACUGCAUUUUGGAUGCAGUUUUCUGAUUGACAGAGAAUAUCACAUAGUAAAUGAACACAACCACAUACACGCAUAUUUCAUUCAUAUCCAAUUCCAAACAUGUAACAGAGACAUGUAAACAUAUAACAGGCAUUCACAUACGACCAAGAGCUUAGAGACGACAACUUACCUCCGCCGCUGCAUGGUUCUCCUCUCCUCUGGCCGUGAGGUCUUUUCUUCCCAGGUGGUGAUGAUCGGUGAUGGCGAUGGUAGUAAAUCUCCAAUGUUUUGUGAGGGUAAGGUGUUUCUUCGUAUGAAUAAUAAUCCUCUCUGCUCUCUUGUUGUGAUCUUGUGCUCUCGUUGUAUUCGUUUGCUCUUGCUGUGAUCGUGAAUGAAUAAUGCUCUCUUUGCUCUUUUCUCAGGCAGCGUGGUCAAAACCAGAUCCCCUCACUGUCCCAGCUCUGCUUUCUGUAGGAUUUCAUGUUUGUCUUUUUCCUUUUCUCUUGUAUUCAUUGUAUCAGUUAAAAAAAACUUUAAAAUCUUUCCCCUUCGAUGAAUGUAUGCGACUCUGCACGGGGAUUUUAGCAAGAGGAGCCUCGACUUGCCACACUGCC